CUUGAGAGCGGCGGACGGGUGAGUAAUGCCUAGGAAUCUGCCUGGUAGUGGGGGAUAACGUUCGGAAACGGACGCUAAUACCGCAUACGUCCUACGGGAGAAAGCAGGGGACCUUCGGGCCUUGCGCUAUCAGAUGAGCCUAGGUCGGAUUAGCUAGUUGGUGGGGUAAUGGCUCACCAAGGCGACGAUCCGUAACUGGUCUGAGAGGAUGAUCAGUCACACUGGAACUGAGACACGGUCCAGACUCCUACGGGAGGCAGCAGUGGGGAAUAUUGGACAAUGGGCGAAAGCCUGAUCCAGCCAUGCCGCGUGUGUGAAGAAGGUCUUCGGAUUGUAAAGCACUUUAAGUUGGGAGGAAGGGCAGUUGCCUAAUACGUAACUGUUUUGACGUUACCGACAGAAUAAGCACCGGCUAACUCUGUGCCAGCAGCCGCGGUAAUACAGAGGGUGCAAGCGUUAAUCGGAAUUACUGGGCGUAAAGCGCGCGUAGGUGGUUUGUUAAGUUGGAUGUGAAAUCCCCGGGCUCAACCUGGGAACUGCAUUCAAAACUGACUGACUAGAGUAUGGUAGAGGGUGGUGGAAUUUCCUGUGUAGCGGUGAAAUGCGUAGAUAUAGGAAGG
rnacentral:rRNA from 2 species